UGAGUGAACAGUGUCACGCUUCCCCAAGAAUUCACUUUUCUGAUAUCCUUUUGCUUUCUCUUUCUCUUUCUUCCAUAUACAUCUGCCUCUUCUUUGUUCUUCUAUCCCAAACUACAACUACCAUCGUUUCAAACCCUACAUGUAAUCACCGUUUGAAAACUCAUUCAGCCAUCACCGUUUCAAAACUCAUUCAGCCAUCACCGUUUCAACCGCAUAAACUAGCAAGAGAAACACCGAGCAACCCAACUGUAAGCAUUUCUUCAUUUUUCUAAUCCUUGAUCAAAAGUGAUAAAAAUUGUCACCGUAAAGAAGAUAGAGCUCUGUUUGUGGGUUGUGGUUUUGUUUCAAGCGAAUAGUUGAUGGCGACUUAUAUGAAGUUUUCGGUGAUUUCACUUAUGUGCGAUUUCGCGUUGGUAGAUCCUCUACAUAUUAUCAUGUUUUUUGUCGGAUCCAGAAGGGAGAUUUCCAAUUUGGGAGAAAGCAACAUAUUAGGUUCCACUGUACAAGCACACUGCUGACCUGUCUGGAAAAUCUAGCCCAAUGCUUCCUUUUCCUGCGUUUACUGUUAUAAGGGGUGGAAAACCUGCUGGAAUUAAUCUGACCAUUGAGAAAGAUAAACAAACAUGAUCAAUAUAAAGUGAGUGAUCUAAAGCAAUUAUAUCAACUUGAUUUGGUUCUCAGUUUCCUUGCUAUUCUCUGAUUGAAGUGGUAAUGUUUCCUAUACACUCAGUUUCCAACUCAUCCUUUUCUUUUUCACUUGGCAUCACAUGAAUAAGGGAAAUUGAAAGUUACAGAUUUUGAAGGAAACUGAUCAAGAAAGAUAAAUGUUGAAUUAAAUGUUGCUACAAAGGUACUUCUUUGAAUUAAAUCAAUUUUCAGUUUUAAUGCCUAGAAGUCUCGAACAUGCUAGAAGUCUCAAACGUUCAGUAUGAGGAAGUUUCCUUUCCUUUCGUUUCGGAUCUAAUCCAUAUCUCUGACAAAGCUUAUUCAAGGAAGGAACUUUUCCAAAUGUUUGACAUUCUGGUUUAGAUCAAAGGGAAAGUUCUCAGAUGAUCAGGCCUCACAUAUGUACUUCAUAUCUCAGGCUGUCCUAAAUUUUUUCUCCUUUACACCAUGUGAUUACAGAUUUUGUUGCAGUUUUUUAAAGUAUGUUAUGCACACUUUAUGUAUUUUCCUUUUCAAAACUUGUGUCUAAACUGCUCGCUGCUCCUGGAGUAGGCUUGUAUAUUAUGAAUACUAAACAUCACUAGAAAGAAUGAAAUUAUAUAGCUUUUAAGUUGAUUGGUCAUUGGUGUUGAAAUA